rnacentral:misc_RNA from 1 species
AAGUCGUAACAAGGUUUCCGUAGGUGAACCUGCGGAAGGAUCAUUAUUACGUAUCCAACGUAUAAACCAAACGUGAACUGUUUCCGCUCAGGGUAGGGUCAAUGAUGCGUCACAUUACGGCCUCACUGUUAGUGAUGAGGCUGUGACGUUGUCUCUGCAUAGCUUUCGGCUAAGUGGGACCCUUGCUCUGUAGCUGGUAUUCUCACUAACUUAAACUAUUAUUAACCCAUUGUACUAUUUUGAACUAAUCAUGUUUCUUGCUUUGUGGACCCUUUUCAAGGGCUCACGAGCUUGAAAUCUAUUUACGUAACUUGAACAACUCUUAGCAACGGAUAUCUUGGCUCUC